GGGUGGCUCAGUGGUAGAGCCUCUGCUAAGUAUGCAGAAGGUGCCAGGUUCAAUCCCGGGCAUCUCCA
rnacentral:tRNA from 1 species